GAUGAACGCUAGCGGCAGGCUUAAUACAUGCAAGUCGUGGGGCAGCAGGUUUGUAGCAAUACAGAUGCUGGCGACCGGCAAACGGGUGCGGAACACGUACAGAACCUUCCUUUGAGCGGGGAAUAGCCCAGAGAAAUUUGGAUUAAUACCCCAUAGUAUAAUGAAGUGGCAUCACUUUAUUAUUAAAGAUUUAUCACUCGAAGAUGGCUGUGCGGCUGAUUAGGUAGUUGGCGGGUAAAGGCCCGACCAAGCCUGCGAUCAGUAACUGGUGUGAGAGCACGACCAGUCACACGGGCACUGAGACACGGGCCCGACUCCUACGGGAGGCAGCAGUAAGGAAUAUUGGUCGAAUGGAGGCGAACUACUGAACCA
rnacentral:rRNA from 1 species